AGUGAACGCUGGCGGUAGGCCUAACACAUGCAAGUCGAACGGCAGCACGGUAAGAGCUUGCUCUUACGGGUGGCGAGUGGCGGACGGGUGAGGAAUACAUCGGAAUCUACUUUUUCGUGGGGGAUAACGUAGGGAAACUUACGCUAAUACCGCAUACGACCUACGGGUGAAAGCAGGGGAUCUUCGGACCUUGCGCGAUUGAAUGAGCCGAUGUCGGAUUAGCUAGUUGGCGGGGUAAAGGCCCACCAAGGCGGCGAUCCGUAGCUGGUCUGAGAGGAUGAUCAGCCACACUGGAACUGAGACACGGUCCAGACUCCUACGGGAGGCAGCAGUGGGGAAUAUUGGGCAAUGGGCGCAAGCCUGAUCCAGCCAUACCGCGUGGGUGAAGAAGGCCUUCGGGUUGUAAAGCCCUUUUGUUGGGAAAGAAAAGCAGCAGGUUAAUACCCCGCUGUUCUGACGGUACCCAAAGAAUAAGCACCGGCUAACUUCGUG
rnacentral:rRNA from 1 species